rnacentral:rRNA from 1 species
UGGGGAAUAUUGCACAAUGGAGGGAACUCUGAUGCAGCGACGCCGCGUGAACGAAGAAGGCUUUCGAGUCGUAAAGUUCUUUUAUAUGGGAAGAUAAUGACGGUACCAUAAGAAAAAGCCCCGGCUAACUACGUGCCAGCAGCCGCGGUAAUACGUAGGGGGCUAGCGUUGUCCGGAAUCACUGGGCGUAAAGGGUUCGCAGGCGGAAAUGCAAGUCAGGUGUAAAAGGCAGUAGCUUAACUACUGUAAGCAUUUGAAACUGCAUAUCUUGAGAAGAGUAGAGGUAACUGGAAUUUUUAGUGUAGCGGUGAAAUGCGUAGAUAUUAAAAAGAAUACCGGUGGCGAAGGCGACUUACUGGGCUCAUUCUGACGCUGAGGAACGAAAGCGUGGGUAGCAAACAGG